CCCUUAGAUGUUCUGGGCCGCACGCGCACUACACUGAUGCAUUCAACGAGUCUAAAACCUGCUCUGAUAGGGGUGGGUAAUCUUUUGAAUGUGCAUCGUGAUUGGGAUAGAUGAUUGCAAUUUUUCAUCUUCAACGAGGAAUGCCUAGUAAACGCAAGUCAUCAGCUUGCAUUGAUUACGUCCCUGCCCUUUGUACACACCGCCCGUCGCUCCUACCGAUUGAAUGAUCCGAUGAAUAUCAUGGAUUGAGGAUGCAAGCAGGUUCGCCUGUCUUCAUCUUCGAGAAGUGAAGUAAAUCUUAUCAUUUAGAGGAAGGAGAAGUCGUAACA
rnacentral:rRNA from 1 species